UAUAUCUGGGUAUACACCGUGGCAGUGUAGGUGGAAGUGGCAGCGGUGGAGUAGGAGGAGGUAGCCAACACUGUUUUUUAUUUAUUUGUAUUUUUUUUAAUUGGGGUUGCCCCAAAAUAUUGGGACAUAUAAAAAAAGAAAAAAAAGAAUAAGUGCACUUGAGUAUAACAAUUGCUGGGUGAGGCCUGUAUAAAUGUCUAUUCUGCACAAGGUACAGACAAGUCUGGUGGGAUCCAUACCUGGUUCAUUUUAAUAAACGUGAGCUUGUGUGAUAACCAAUCACACGACCCCGUGACGGCGACAACACAUUUGGAUGUCUGCCCUAUCAACUUUCAAUGCUAUUUUCCGCGCCUACCAUGGUGACCACGGGUAACGGGGAAUCAGGGUUCGAUUCCAGAGAGAGAGCCUGAGAAACGGCUACCACAUGCGAGGAAGGCAGCAGGCGCGCAAAUUACACACUCCUGACGCGGGGAGGUAGUGACGACAAAUAACAAUACACUACUCUUUCGAGGCCCUGUAAUUGUAAUUAGUCCACUUUAAAUCCUUUAACUUGGAUCAAUUGGAGGGCAAGUCUAGUGCAGAGCGACUGACCCGUGCAUGCUGCAGCUGAAACUCCACU